rnacentral:rRNA from 1 species
GGGUUGUCAUGCCAAUGGCACUGCCCGGUAGCUAAAUGCGGAAGAGAUAAGUGCUGAAAGCAUCUAAGCACGAAACUUGCCCCGAGAUGAGUUCUCCCUGACUCCUUGAGAGUCCUGAAGGAACGUUGAAGACGACGACGUUGAUAGGCCGGAUGUGUAAGCGCAGCGAUGCGUUGAGCUAACCGGUACUAAUGAACCGUGAGGCUUAACCUUACAACGCCGAAGGUGUUU